GAUGAACGCUGGCGGCGUGCCUAAUACAUGCAAGUCGAGCGAACGGACGAGAAGCUUGCUUCUCUGAUGUUAGCGGCGGACGGGGGAGUAACACGUGGAUAACCUACCUAUAAGACUGGGAUAACUUCGGGAAACCGGAGCUAAUACCGGAUAAUAUUUUGAACCGCAUGGUUCAAAAGUGAAAGACGGUCUUGCUGUCACUUAUGGAUGGAUCCGCGCUGCAUUAGCUAGUUGGUAAGGUAACGGCUUACCAAGGCAACGAUGCAUAGCCGACCUGAGAGGGUGAUCGGCCACACUGGAACUGAGACACGGUCCAGACUCCUACGGGAGGCAGCAGUAGGGAAUCUUCCGCAAUGGGCGAAAGCCUGACGGAGCAACGCCGCGUGAGUGAUGAAGGUCUUCGGAUCGUAAAACUCUGUUAUUAGGGAAGAACAUAUGUGUAAGUAACUGUGCACAUCUUGACGGUACCUAAUCAGAAAGCCACGGCUAACUACGUG
rnacentral:rRNA from 1 species